rnacentral:rRNA from 1 species
UAGGGAAUCUUCCGCAAUGGACGAAAGUCUGACGGAGCAACGCCGCGUGAGUGAUGAAGGUUUUCGGAUCGUAAAGCUCUGUUGUUAGGGAAGAACAAGUGCCGUUCAAAUAGGGCGGCACCUUGACGGUACCUAACCAGAAAGCCACGGCUAACUACGUGCCAGCAGCCGCGGUAAUACGUAGGUGGCAAGCGUUGUCCGGAAUUAUUGGGCGUAAAGGGCUCGCAGGCGGUUUCUUAAAUCUGAUGGGAAAGCCCCCGGCUCAACCGGGGAGGGUCAUUGGAAACUGGGGAACUUGAGUGCAGAAGAGGAGAGUGGAAUUCCACGUGUAGCGGUGAAAUGCGUAGAGAUGUGGAGGAACACCAGUGGCGAAGGCGACUCUCUGGUCUGUAACUGACGCUGAGGAGCGAAAGCGUGGGGAGCGAACA